AUACGUAGGGGGCGAGCGUUAUCCGGAAUUAUUGGGCGUAAAGAGUGCGUAGGCGGUUCUGUAAGCGUGAGGUGAAAGCCCGGGGCUUAACUCCGGUAAGCCUUUCGAACUGCAGGACUUGAGUGCUGGAGGGGAAAGUGGAAUUCCUAGUGUAGCGGGGAAAUGCGUAGAUAUUAGGAGGAACACCAGUGGCGAAGGCGACUUUCUGGACAGUAACUGACGCUGAGGUACGAAAGCGUGGGGAGCAAACAGGAUUAGAUACCCUGGUAGUCCACGCUGUAAACGAUGAGCACUAGGUGUCGGGCUAGCAAUAGUUCGGUGCCGCAGUUAACGCAAUAAGUGCUCCGCCUGGGGAGUACGCACGCAAGUGUGAAACUCAAAUGAAUUGGCGGGG
rnacentral:rRNA from 1 species